GCUUGCUUGGUGGAUCAGUGGCGAACGGGUGAGUAACACGUGAGCAACCUGCCCUGGACUCUGGGAUAAGCGCUGGAAACGGCGUCUAAUACUGGAUAUGAGCCCCUAUCGCAUGGUGGGGGUUGGAAAGAUUUUUUGGUCUGGGAUGGGCUCGCGGCCUAUCAGCUUGUUGGUGAGGUAAUGGCUCACCAAGGCGUCGACGGGUAGCCGGCCUGAGAGGGUGACCGGCCACACUGGGACUGAGACACGGCCCAGACUCCUACGGGAGGCAGCAGUGGGGAAUAUUGCACAAUGGGCGAAAGCCUGAUGCAGCAACGCCGCGUGAGGGAUGACGGCCUUCGGGUUGUAAACCUCUUUUAGCAGGGAAGAAGCGAAAGUGACGGUACCUGCAGAAAAAGCGCCGGCUAACUACGUGCCAGCAGCCGCGGUAAUACGUAGGGNCGCAAGCGUUAUCCGGAAUUAUUGGGCGUAAAGAGCUCGUAGGCGGUUUGUCGCGUCUGCUGUGAAAUCCCGAGGCUCAACCUCGGGCCUGCAGUGGGUACGGGCAGACUAGAGUGCGGUAGGGGAGAUUGGAAUUCCUGGUGUAGCGGUGGAAUGCGCAGAUAUCAGGAGGAACACCGAUGGCGAAGGCAGAUCUCUGGGCCGUAACUGACGCUGAGGAGCGAAAGGGUGGGGAGCAAACAGGCUUAGAUACCCUGGUAGUCCACCCCGUAAACGUUGGGAACUAGUUGUGGGGACCAUUCCACGGUUUCCGUGACGCAGCUAACGCAUUAAGUUCCCCGCCUGGGGAGUACGGCCGCAAGGCUAAAACUCAAAGGAAUUGACGGGGACCCGCACAAGCGGCGGAGCAUGCGGAUUAAUUCGAUGCAACGCGAAGAACCUUACCAAGGCUUGACAUAUACGAGAACGGGCCAGAAAUGGUCAACUCUUUGGACACUCGUAAACAGGUGGUGCAUGGUUGUCGUCAGCUCGUGUCGUGAGAUGUUGGGUUAAGUCCCGCAACGAGCGCAACCCUCGUUCUAUGUUGCCAGCACGUAAUGGUGGGAACUCAUGGGAUACUGCCGGGGUCAACUCGGAGGAAGGUGGGGAUGACGUCAAAUCAUCAUGCCCCUUAUGUCUUGGGCUUCACGCAUGCUACAAUGGCCGGUACAAAGGGCUGCAAUACCGUGAGGUGGAGCGAAUCCCAAAAAGCCGGUCCCAGUUCGGAUUGAGGUCUGCAACUCGACCUCAUGAAGUCGGAGUCGCUAGUAAUCGCAGAUCAGCAACGCUGCGGUGAAUACGUUCCCGGGUCUUGUACACACCGCCCGUCAAGUCAUGAAAGUCGGUAACACCUGAAGCCGGUGGCCCAACC
rnacentral:rRNA from 1 species